CUGAAGAAGGACUAAGCUGGUGAUGAGCGGCUUUAAUAGAGGAAUUUGAAGAUCCUUAAGCCUCUUUCCUUUGUUUCCUGAGAUUUCUAAGGCCAGACAUCAGUCCUGGAGUGUGGUGGCCCUGGAAAGCCCUUCGGCUCUGGAGUAGGUCAGUUCUGGGUUGGAAUCCUGUCUCUGCCGCUUACAGCCAGUUUGUGACAGGAGCGUUCACAUUCCCGCUUGAAAGUGAAAGUCCAGAAAAUAUUCACGGGUUGGAACCUUGACUUUCUCAUCCAUCUCAGCUCUAUCACAGAUCUGCUUUGCUGUUUUCUUUUGGUGGUGGCAGUCUCUCUGGUGGUCAUUAUAAUUGCAGUUUACUGCCAACAAAAACAAGAGCG